GAUAAAAGGUACCUCGGGGAUAACAGGCUGAUCUUGCCCAAGAGUCCAUAUCGACGGCAUGGUUUGGCACCUCGAUGUCGGCUCGUCGCAUCCUGGGGCUGGAGUAGGUCCCAAGGGUUGGGCUGUUCGCCCAUUAAAGCGGUACGCGAGCUGGGUUUAGAACGUCGUGAGACAGUUCGGUCCCUAUCCUCUGCGCGCGUUGGAAAUUUGAGAAGGUCUGUCCUUAGUACGAGAGGACCGGGA
rnacentral:rRNA from 1 species